rnacentral:tRNA from 1 species
GGGUGAUAGCGUGAGCGGCUUGAUUUCGACUUAAGAUUGAUAAUUAAGUAGAUUACGUCAUUGU